UACGAAGGGGGCUAGCGUUGCUCGGAAUCACUGGGCGUAAAGGGUACGUAGGCGGGUCUUUAAGUCAGGGGUGAAAUCCUGGAGCUCAACUCCAGAACUGCCUUUGAUACUGAGAAGCUUGAGUCCGGGAGAGGUGAGUGGAACUGCGAGUGUAGAGGUGAAAUUCGUAGAUAUUCGCAAGAACACCAGUGGCGAAGGCGGCUCACUGGCCCGGUACUGACGCUGAGGUGCGAAAGCGUGGGGAGCAAACAGG
rnacentral:rRNA from 1 species